rnacentral:rRNA from 1 species
AGUGAACGCUGGCGGUAGGCCUAACACAUGCAAGUCGAACGGCAGCACAGUAAGAGCUUGCUCUUAUGGGUGGCGAGUGGCGGACGGGUGAGGAAUACAUCGGAAUCUACUUUUUCGUGGGGGAUAACGUAGGGAAACUUACGCUAAUACCGCAUGAUCUGGAGACAGCAAAGCGGCGGACCGCAAGGCGUCGCGCGACG